UUUAAUUGAAGAGUUUGAUCAUGGCUCAGAUUGAACGCUGGCGGCAGGCCUAACACAUGCAAGUCGAGCGGUAACAUUUCAAAAGCUUGCU
rnacentral:rRNA from 1 species